GGGUUGUGAGGUUAAGCGACUAAGCGUACACGGUGGAUGCCCUGGCAGUCAGAGGCGAUGAAGGACGUGCUAAUCUGCGAUAAGCGUCGGUAAGGUGAUAUGAACCGUUAUAACCGGCGAUUUCCGAAUGGGGAAACCCAGUGUGAUUCGUCACACUAUCAUUAACUGAAUCCAUAGGUUAAGGCCCCGAACCAAAAAAGCACAAGGCUGUGAGCUCGAUGAGUAGGGCGGGACACGUGGUAUCCUGUCUGAAUAUGGGGGGACCAUCCUCCAAGGCUAAAUACUCCUGACUGACCGAUAGUGAACCAGUACCGUGAGGGAAAGGCGAAAAGAACCCCGGCGAGGGGAGUGAAAAAGAACCUGAAACCGUGUACGUACAAGCAGUGGGAGCACGCUUAGGCGUGUGACUGCGUACCUUUUGUAUAAUGGGUCAGCGACUUAUAUUCUGUAGCAAGGUUAACCGAAUAGGGGAGCCGAAGGGAAACCGAGUCUUAACUGGGCGUUAAGUUGCAGGGUAUAGACCCGAAACCCGGUGAUCUAGCCAUGGGCAGGUUGAAGGUUGGGUAACACUAACUGGAGGACCGAACCGACUAAUGUUGAAAAAUUAGCGGAUGACUUGUGGCUGGGGGUGAAAGGCCAAUCAAACCGGGAGAUAGCUGGUUCUCCCCGAAAGCUAUUUAGGUAGCGCCUCGUGAAUUCAUCUCCGGGGGUAGAGCACUGUUUCGGCAAGGGGGUCAUCCCGACUUACCAACCCGAUGCAAACUGCGAAUACCGGAGAAUGUUAUCACGGGAGACACACGGCGGGUGCUAACGUCCGUCGUGAAGAGGGAAACAACCCAGACCGCCAGCUAAGGUCCCAAAGUCAUGGUUAAGUGGGAAACGAUGUGGGAAGGCCCAGACAGCCAGGAUGUUGGCUUAGAAGCAGCCAUCAUUUAAAGAAAGCGUAAUAGCUCACUGGUCGAGUCGGCCUGCGCGGAAGAUGUAACGGGGCUAAACCAUGCACCGAAGCUGCGGCAGCGACGCUUAUGCGUUGUUGGGUAGGGGAGCGUUCUGUAAGCCUGUGAAGGUGUACUGUGAGGUAUGCUGGAGGUAUCAGAAGUGCGAAUGCUGACAUAAGUAACGAUAAAGCGGGUGAAAAGCCCGCUCGCCGGAAGACCAAGGGUUCCUGUCCAACGUUAAUCGGGGCAGGGUGAGUCGACCCCUAAGGCGAGGCCGAAAGGCGUAGUCGAUGGGAAACAGGUUAAUAUUCCUGUACUUGGUGUUACUGCGAAGGGGGGACGGAGAAGGCUAUGUUGGCCGGGCGACGGUUGUCCCGGUUUAAGCGUGUAGGCUGGUUUUCCAGGCAAAUCCGGAAAAUCAAGGCUGAGGCGUGAUGACGAGGCACUACGGUGCUGAAGCAACAAAUGCCCUGCUUCCAGGAAAAGCCUCUAAGCAUCAGGUAACAUCAAAUCGUACCCCAAACCGACACAGGUGGUCAGGUAGAGAAUACCAAGGCGCUUGAGAGAACUCGGGUGAAGGAACUAGGCAAAAUGGUGCCGUAACUUCGGGAGAAGGCACGCUGAUAUGUAGGUGAAGUCCCUCGCGGAUGGAGCUGAAAUCAGUCGAAGAUACCAGCUGGCUGCAACUGUUUAUUAAAAACACAGCACUGUGCAAACACGAAAGUGGACGUAUACGGUGUGACGCCUGCCCGGUGCCGGAAGGUUAAUUGAUGGGGUCAGCGCAAGCGAAGCUCUUGAUCGAAGCCCCGGUAAACGGCGGCCGUAACUAUAACGGUCCUAAGGUAGCGAAAUUCCUUGUCGGGUAAGUUCCGACCUGCACGAAUGGCGUAAUGAUGGCCAGGCUGUCUCCACCCGAGACUCAGUGAAAUUGAACUCGCUGUGAAGAUGCAGUGUACCCGCGGCAAGACGGAAAGACCCCGUGAACCUUUACUAUAGCUUGACACUGAACAUUGAGCCUUGAUGUGUAGGAUAGGUGGGAGGCUUUGAAGUGUGGACGCCAGUCUGCAUGGAGCCGACCUUGAAAUACCACCCUUUAAUGUUUGAUGUUCUAACGUUGACCCGUAAUCCGGGUUGCGGACAGUGUCUGGUGGGUAGUUUGACUGGGGCGGUCUCCUCCUAAAGAGUAACGGAGGAGCACGAAGGUUGGCUAAUCCUGGUCGGACAUCAGGAGGUUAGUGCAAUGGCAUAAGCCAGCUUGACUGCGAGCGUGACGGCGCGAGCAGGUGCGAAAGCAGGUCAUAGUGAUCCGGUGGUUCUGAAUGGAAGGGCCAUCGCUCAACGGAUAAAAGGUACUCCGGGGAUAACAGGCUGAUACCGCCCAAGAGUUCAUAUCGACGGCGGUGUUUGGCACCUCGAUGUCGGCUCAUCACAUCCUGGGGCUGAAGUAGGUCCCAAGGGUAUGGCUGUUCGCCAUUUAAAGUGGUACGCGAGCUGGGUUUAGAACGUCGUGAGACAGUUCGGUCCCUAUCUGCCGUGGGCGCUGGAGAACUGAGGGGGGCUGCUCCUAGUACGAGAGGACCGGAGUGGACGCAUCACUGGUGUUCGGGUUGUCAUGCCAAUGGCACUGCCCGGUAGCUAAAUGCGGAAGAGAUAAGUGCUGAAAGCAUCUAAGCACGAAACUUGCCCCGAGAUGAGUUCUCCCUGACUCCUUGAGAGUCCUGAAGGAACGUUGAAGACGACGACGUUGAUAGGCCGGGUGUGUAAGCGCAGCGAUGCGUUGAGCUAACCGGUACUAAUGAACCGUGAGGCUUAACCUUACAACGCCGAAGGUGUUU
rnacentral:rRNA from 1 species